UGCCAGCCAGCAGGGCCACCCCCGCCCCUUAGAUCCUUCCAGGCUACUGAUGGCCUUGGCAUUCCCAUCUGCCACCCCCCUUGCUUGGCAGGCCUCUGGAGAGGGGCUGGCACCCUCAGCAGGUAGUUGGGAGGCUAGAACCCCCAAAUCUUCACACCCGGCACAGCUGUGCAGAAAACACCAGCCACGAGGAAUGCCAGACAUGAGAAGAUGCCACAGAGAUGGCAGGACUUCAGCUCCCUGGAGUGCCCCACCAUGCCUGGCUUGUGCAGUGCAGACGACAGAACCCAGGACCUUGUGAAUGCUGGGUAAGAACUCUACUGACUGAACUACGGUCCCAGCCUUGUCGUCAUCAUUAUCACCAUGAUGGCUGUUCUUGGUUGUCAACUUAACCACAUCUGGAAUUAACUAAAACCCAAAACUGGAGGGCACACCUGUGAGGGAUUUCUGCCUAAUUGGAAGUGGGAAGGUCUACUUCUAAUCUAGAACUUUUAGGAACACGCACCUUUAAUUCAGAUCUUUAAUUCGCCUCUCAUCUGGGCCACACCUUCUGUUGGAAUCCUAUAUAAGGACAUGGAAGAAGGAAGAUUAUGCUCUUUGCCUGCUUGCUCUUGCCUUGCUAGCAAGUCCAUUCCUUCACUGGCAUUAGAGCCUGCUUCUUCGGGAUUCCAAUGUGUACUGAAGACCAGCUGAGACAUCCAGCCUCCUAGCCUGAGCAACUACUGGAUUCCUGGACUUUCCAUUCACACUCAGCCAUUGUUGGAUUAGCUGGACCACUGCUUGUAAGUCAUUCUAGUAGACUCCCCUAUAGAUACAUGGAGAGAGAGAGUGGGUGUGUUGCACAAAUUCUAAAUGGUCUUAUAAUAAAAACCCGGAGCCAGAUAUCAGGGUGAAAGCUGGAAGAUCCGAGAAGCGGAGCGUGCCAUGGCUACCACCUCUUACAUCACCAACUCCUCAGCCUGACAGAGCCUGAAUGAACGUGAAUUCCUGUCUCCUUCUGCCCUAUAUUCCUUUCUCUACCCAGCCAUAUCACUUCCUGUCUCAACCUUCCUAGUGCUGGGAUUAAAGCUUCCAUCAGACACCCACAGAGACACCAGAACAGGAGAGUGUGAGGAACCACACAGCACCAAGAGAGAGGUUCGUGCCUGCAGAGACUCCCCCAGAUGACUCAGACUGUGAGGUAAAGAUGUGCUGAACGGAUGGGAUCGCCAGCGACUGCCCCUCAUCUUCUUUCUCUUCAGGGUUUGAGAACGGGCCAGAGCAGGAGGAAUUUAUCCAUUUGUUAAAAUGAUGAUGUCUACCAAGAUCCCUCCUCUCUCAGGAUCUUAAGGGACACAAAAAAACCAAAAUAAAACCAAACAAACUGAAACUGAGCAGAAAGGACAAACCCACUAGUAUGUGAUAAAACAGGGAAAAAAAAAAAAGAACCAAAUCCACCAAAGAAGAGCACAGAGAGAGCCAAAUCUAGCACAGAACCUGCAGGGAUGGCAUGGCGAGACAGCGGAAGAGGUGGAGCCUCGGGAAGGACCACAUCUAUCAGUCUGUAAUCAGGCCUCUGUAGGCACGUGCACAACCUCUUCCCACCCCACAUACAUAUAUAAAAAUCACAAAUAAAUCCUUAAAAACCGAACAAUAAUAAACGUAAAUGGAACAGAUUCUCUUGUUAAGGAGACUAUAAAUUGGAUUAAGCUGUACACGUGUACAGCAUGUUCAACUGGAACCUCUAAAGCCCCUCUGCUCAGUGGGCAGAAACGUGCAGCCAAUGCAUACUAACUGAAUGUAGCCGCAGGGAGACGAGGGCGCAGGGUAGAUACUGGUCCAAGUGAAAUUCAACGGCAAACACAUGAACAGAGUGGGGAAAGUCAUUCUGUAUUUCACAGUGAAGACAGGCU